GACGAACGCUGGCGGCGUGCCUAAUACAUGCAAGUCGAACGCACCCUUCGGGGUGAGUGGCGCACGGCUGAGUAACACGUGGGAAUCUGUCUUCUAGUGGGGGAUAACGUCUCGAAAGAGACGCUAAUCCCGCAUACGCUCCGUGAGGAGGAAAGGCGCAAGUCGCUAGAAGAGGAGCCUGCGGCCCAUCAGGUAGUUGGAGAGGUAAUGGCUCACCAAGCCUAUGACGGGUAGCUGGUCUGUGAGGACAACCAGCCAGACUGGGACUGAGAACGGCCCAGACUCCUACGGGAGGCAGCAGUAAGGAAUUUUCGUCAAUGGGGGAAACCCUGAACGAGCAACGCCGCGUGGAGGAUGACGGUCUUCGGAUUGUAAACUCCUUUUGUGAGGGACGAUAAUGACGGUACCUCGCGAAUAAGCCCCGGCUAACUCUGUGCCAGCAGCCGCGGUAAUACAGAGGGGGCAAGCGUUGUCCGGAGUUACUGGGCGUAAAGCGCACGUAGGCGGUCCUGCAAGUGGUGUGUGAAACCAAUCAGCUUAACUGAUUGACGCCAUGCCAAACUGCGAGACUCGAGUCAUGGAGAGGUAGUUCGAAUUGCUGGUGUAGUGGUGAAAUGCGUAGAUAUCAGCAGGAAGACCAAGGGAGAAAUCAGACUACUGGCCAUGAACUGACGCUCAGGUGCGAAAGCGUGGGGAGCGAACUGGAUUAGAUACCCAGGUAGUCCACGCCGUAAACGAUGUAUGCUCGGUAUUUGGGCCUGUUAAGGGCUUGGGUACCUCAGGUAACCCGGUAAGCAUACCGCCUGGGAAGUACGAACGCAAGUUUA
rnacentral:rRNA from 1 species